CUUUUAGGUUGGUUUUGCAUUUGACUGAAAGUGGGGUAUACUUUUACAUUUGACUUGAAUUUUUGGGUUGGUUUUAGCAAAUGUCCCACAUAUAAAUUAGAUUCUCACAUGUACUUAAAUUCUUUCUUGACAUUAUUCUCUCAUGUACUUAUUUUUUAAUAUAAACUUACAUUUAUGGACCCGAAAGAUGAGAAUUCAAAUGACGAUCACAAAUUUGUUUGAACGAAAAUUCUCUAAAUCAAACAUUACAACAUUAGCUUCGUAUUUCCACCAAACUGAUACGUUCCGCUAGAGCACUCCGAAAUCUUUAGAAAGUCAUUAAACUGUUCUCAACCGUCGAUGAUUACUAUUUAA
rnacentral:lncRNA from 1 species